GAUGAAGAACGUAGCGAAAUGCGAUAAGUAAUGUGAAUUGCAGAAUUCAGUGAAUCAUCGAAUCUUUGAACGCACAUUGCGCCCUUUGGCAUUCCGAAGGGCACACCUGUCCGAGCGCCGUCGCACAACUGAGGCGCAGCCUUGCGUUGGCGGGCGACUUGUGAGUAGCGAGUCGCCGCCCAAACGAGACGGCGCCGCGCCGCGGCCGACGAAGCACGAAAGCGGAAGUCGACGCGGAGGCGGUUGCCUGUAGGAAGACACAGCUUGGCCUCGGAUCAGGUGGGGAUACCCGCUGAACUUAAGCAUAUCAAUAAGCGGAGGA
rnacentral:misc_RNA from 1 species